rnacentral:lncRNA from 1 species
GUUCUCCUUACGUUUUGGGCUUUUCCUAUUUAUGAAGUUCUUAGUUGUCUGUUGUGCACACUGACUUUUUUUUUUUUUUUUUUGGAGAAAGUAAAUCUAAUUUCUGAAAAUCUAAUUUCAGAAAUCAUACACCGAACACUCUGUUUUUUUAUACCUUACAAAAAGUUCAGCUUUAUAUACUUAGGGUUAUAGUAAAAUUACCAUCUAUGAAGUAUGAGAUAAUUUUUUCAAAAAGUAGUCCUUAGUACUACUAAGAAUCAAUAAAGUGACUUGGAAUAGUCACAUGUAUUUGUUUCACACUUUUUCUUAAAUUGUUUUUGUGUGAUAUAGAAAUACUGAGUUGGCUACUAACGAUGUGGCUAUCUGGAUAUAAAAAGUGUUAUUGGAUUGGUUAUGUCUGAACAAAGAGAAUAACUGGAGUUUUCUUACAGGGACCUGAGUACUGCCCCCAACAUAUAUUUUUGCAACAUUUCUCUUUAACUUUCAUAAGCUCAUAGAGUUGAUUUUCUUCGUCAGUCUUUGUUUCCUCUGAAAUGCAUGUCAUAACAGUAAGCUUUGAAAACCUUAAUUCUCUUUUCUUAGCUGAGAAAAAAAAUUCUAGUGUUAACUGUUGUUGAGUGCAGUUAUUUAAAUCCACUUUUAUGUGCAAAGUGCAUAGUAUCAAUGUUGAAUGUUCCUGUAUGUUUACAUCAUAGUAGUAAAGAGAUACCACUUGAAGUUAUUCCUCCAAAUUAAUAGUUAAAUUUGAGGUUUCAGAUUCUUGUAAGUAUAUGAAGUACAGAGGAUAAAGUUAAUAACUCGAGUUAAUAACUUCCUGUAUCAUUAAAAGCAAUCAACUUGAUUCUGUUUGUUACUUUUAGAAGAAUAUAUAAAUGGAGCUUUGUUAAACACUUGACUAACCUGACUCCAGUAUAGAGUCCUCCCCACAGAGUUCUGAGCAUUGUUACAUAGUAGCAUAAUUACUUCACUGCACAACAGAGGAUACUACUUUUAUGUAAUGUCUAAUAAGUGGAUAUUAUAUAGUUUCUAUCUCAUCCAUAUGAGCAAGUGUAAUUUAUCAAAGCAAAGAAAAUCACAUUUUCAAGUCAUAAAAGAGAAAAUAAAAUUAUAAUGAUCCUCAGUUACUGCCUUUGUUGCAUACUGCAUCAUGUUAAUAACUGCUCACACUGCUUUCAAUUAAUUUAACACUGAUUGCUUCUAACCUUUACUAAACAGUUUUAAAAUUGCUAUAGCUUAGCCUGCGACGCUUAUGAUUAGAGCCAACAAUUUGAAAUGGCCUGCUCACCUGAUGCAGUCGUCUCUCCGUCUUCCGCUUUCUUAAGGUCUGGCUCAGUUUAUGAACCUCUUAAAAGCAUUAAUCUUCCAAGACCUGAUAAUGAAACUCUCUGGGAUAAGUUGGACCAUUAUUACAGAAUUGUCAAGUCAACAUUGCUGCUGUAUCAAAGUCCAACUACCGGUCUCUUUCCCACUAAAACAUGCGGUGGUGACCAGAA